CUGAGCCUACGGGAGGCAGCAGUGGGGAAUAUUGGGCAAUGGGCGCAAGCCUGACCCAGCAACGCCGCGUGAAGGAAGAAGGCUUUCGGGUUGUAAACUUCUUUUCUCAGGGACGAAGCAAGUGACGGUACCUGAGGAAUAAGCCACGGCUAACUACGUGCCAGCAGCCGCGGUAAUACGUAGGUGGCAAGCGUUAUCCGGAUUUACUGGGUGUAAAGGGCGUGUAGGCGGGAAAGCAAGUCAGAUGUGAAAACUAUGGGCGCAACCUGUGGCCUGCAUUUGAAACUGUUUUUCUUGAGUACUGG
rnacentral:rRNA from 1 species